rnacentral:rRNA from 1 species
GACGAACGCUGGCGGCGUGCUUAACACAUGCAAGUCGAACGAUGAAGCUGGAGCUUGCUCCGGUGGAUUAGUGGCGAACGGGUGAGUAACACGUGAGCAAUCUGCCCUUGACUCUGGGAUAACUGCGGGAAACUGUAGCUAAUACCGGAUACGAGACCUGAAGGCAUCUUCGGGUCUGGAAAGAAUUUCGGUCAAGGAUGAGCUCGCGGCCUAUCAGCUUGUUGGUGAGGUAAUGGCUCACCAAGGCGACGACGGGUAGCCGGCCUGAGAGGGUGACCGGCCACACUGGGACUGAGACACGGCCCAGACUCCUACGGGAGGCAGCAGUGGGGAAUAUUGCACAAUGGGCGAAAGCCUGAUGCAGCAACGCCGCGUGAGGGAUGAAGGCCUUCGGGUUGUAAACCUCUUUUAGCAGGGAAGAAGCGAAAGUGACGGUACCUGCAGAAAAAGCACCGGCUAACUACGUGCCAGCCGCCGCCGUAA